rnacentral:rRNA from 1 species
GACGAACGCUGGCGGCGUGCUUAAUACAUGCAAGUCAACUUGACUUUAGAUAGCAAUAUCGAAAAGUAGGGUGGCGCACGGGUGCGUAACGCGUAGGUAAUCUGCCCUGAGGUCUGACAUAACCCGUCGAAAGGCGGGCUAACAUCAGAUGAUAUAUAAUCACGACAUCGUGGAAAUAUCAAAUCUUCGGAGCCUUGGGAUGAGUCUGCGUCUGAUUAGGUAGUUGGCGGAGUAAUAGCCACCAAGCCUACGAUCAGUAGCUGGUCUGAGAGGAUGAUCAGCCACACUGGAACUGAGACACGGUCCAGACUCCUACGGGAGGCAGCAGUAAGGAAUAUUGCUCAAU